AGCAGGACUGGUUCUAGGUUGCAUCCUGUGUGCUGCUGCAUUCUUUCUGAAGGAGCAUGAAUUGCUGCUCGAUGCAGUACCAGCAUUCAUUCUGACAGGAAUCCUGGUGUACAUAGGAUUUUUCUCUAUAGGAUUGGGUGCAAUACCAUGGGUUGUAAGGUCCGAGAUUUUUCCAUUGAACAUAAAGGGAUCGGCUGGGAGUCUUGCGAUAUGGAU